GCUGUAUUAGCUCAUCUAGUAGAGCGCGCGCCUUGUAAGCGUGUGAGAGGGGUGCAAGUCCUCUAUGCAGCUCCA
rnacentral:tRNA from 1 species